AGCAGCCGCGGUAAUUCCAGCUCCAAUAGCGUAUAUUAAAGUUGCUGCAGUUAAAAGCUCGUAGUUGAAUUUCGGGACUAAUAUGUCGGUCGUGCCUCGGUACGUACUGGCUUAUUGGUUUCUCCUUUCUGAAGAACCAUGAUGUCAUUUAUUUGGUGUCGUGGGGAAUCAGGACUGUUACUUUGAAAAAUUAGAGUGUUUAAAGCAGGCUCACGCUUGAAUACAUUAGCAUGGAAUAAUGAAAUAGGACGUUUGAUUCUAUUUUGUUGGUUUCUAGGAUCGACGUAAUGAUUAAUAGGGAUAGUUGGGGGCAUUAGUAUUCAAUUGUCAGAGGUGAAAUUCUUGGAUUUAUUGAAGACUAACUACUGCGAAAGCAUUUGCCAAGGAUGUUUUCAUUAAUCAAGAACGAAAGUUAGGGACCGAAGACGAUCAGAUACCGUCGUAGUCUUAACCAUAAACUAUGCCGACUAGGGAUCGGAUGAUGUUAAUUUUUUAAUGUACUCAUUCGGCGCCUUACGGG
rnacentral:misc_RNA from 1 species